rnacentral:rRNA from 1 species
GGAUGCGAUUAUACCAGCAUUAACACAUCAGGAUCUCAUCAGAACUCCGAAGCCAAGUGUGCUUGGGUGAGAGUAAUACUACGACGGGUGACCCCUGGGAAGUCCUGGUGUUGUAUCCC